rnacentral:misc_RNA from 2 species
GUUGCGUUGAUAAAAGUAUUGUUUUUGUACUCUCAAGAUUCAAUAAUCUUGCAGAAGCUACAAAGAUAAGGCUUCAUGCCGAAAUCAACACCCUGUCAUUUUAUGGCAGGGUGUUUU